UACGAAGGUCCCGAGCGUUAUCCGGAUUUAUUGGGUUUAAAGGGUGCGUAGGCGGGUUAUUAAGUCAGUGGUGAAAGCCUUCAGCUUAACUGAAGAAUUGCCAUUGAUACUGAUGAUCUUGAGUAUGAUUGAGGUGGGCGGAAUGUGUCAUGUAGCGGUGAAAUGCUUAGAUAUGACACAGAACACCGACUGCGAAGGCAGCUCACUAAGCCAUAACUGACGCUGAUGCACGAAAGCGUGGGGAUCAAACAGG
rnacentral:rRNA from 1 species